rnacentral:lncRNA from 1 species
GUUUAAAAAAAUAGGUCCUCAUUCUAAAGGAGUAACUUCUUGAACCAGCAGUAGAUAUUGUGUCGGGAAGGACGAGGAGCAGGAGCAUUGGUUCAGAUUUUCUCUAUUGUCCUUGUGUUUGUUUACUGAUUAUUGGCUUGACAUGAAGAUUGAUCAGGUGCGUGGAUGUCAUGUGCAUGUUCUUCUUAGUUUCAAUACACUUUAACUGGAUUAUACUUCAAGUACUCCGAGUACUUGCUCUUGUGAACUGACAGUAGGUUUUUGUUUGCAUUUUAACCCUUGUUAGUAUGUUUUCCAAGCUACAUGGCCUGUUGCAACGCUCUUCGGAGUCAAACCCUUGGGUGGUGGCGACGGUGAUUACGACGACGGGUUGUGGGCCUACCAGAGGGUGCGGCAGGCGGCAGUGCAAGGCGACUCAUAGCGGGGCGUGGGGCCG